AAUUCCACUCAAACAUCUUGAUAAAAUGCAGAAUCUGAUUCACUAAGCCUGGGCCAGAGGUCCUGUUUUUCUAACUAGUUUUUAGAUAGUGACAAU
rnacentral:pre_miRNA from 1 species